rnacentral:rRNA from 1 species
AACGAACGCUGGCAGCAUGCCUAACACAUGCAAGUCGAACGAGACCUUCGGGUCUAGUGGCGCACGGGUGCGUAACGCGUGGGAACCUGCCCUUAGGUUCGGAAUAACUCCCCGAAAGGGGUGCUAAUACCGGAUAAUGUCUUCGGACCAAAGAUUUAUCGCCUUUGGAUGGGCCCGCGUUGGAUUAGCUAGUUGGUAGGGUAAAAGCCUACCAAGGCGACGAUCCAUAGCUGGUCUGAGAGGAUGAUCAGCCACACUGGGACUGAGACACGGCCCAGACUCCUACGGGAGGCAGCAGUGGGGAAUAUUGGACAAUGGGCGAAAGCCUGAUCUAGCAAUGCCGCGUGAGUGAUGAAGGCCUUAGGGUUGUAAAGCUCUUUUACCCGGGAUGAUAAUGACAGUACCGGGAGAAUAAGCUCCGGCUAACUCCGUG